rnacentral:lncRNA from 1 species
UGAAUAGUAAAGAACACGUGUACAACUUCUAAGUGUGUCAAAAUUUAGGACAGUCUGAAUUUGAUGUUGUAAAGAACAUUUGUACAACUUCUAUAGUGUCAAAAGACGCAUUUUAGGACAGUCUGAUGUUGAUGAAUAUAACAAACGUGUGUGUUGUGUAACUUCAAAGUGUACCAUAAGACUCAUUUUAGGACAGUCUGAUGUUUAAGAACAUGUGUGCAACUUCUACGUACUUCAAAUUUUAAGAUAGCCCUAUUUUGAAGAUCUUUUGUUUAACUUUUAAGUGUGUCAAUUUUUAGGAUAGUCUGAUUUUUAUGAAUGUAAAGAACAUGUGUACAAUUUCUAAGUGUGUCAAAUUGUAGGACAGUUUGAUAUUGAUGAAUGUUGGGAACAUGUGUACAACUUUGAAGUGUCAAAUUGAAGGACAGUCUGUUUGGAUGAAUGUAAUAGUACAUGUGUAAAAUUUCUAAGUGUCAAAGUUUAAGACAGUCUGAUUUUGAUGAAUGUAAAGAACAUGUGUACAACUUCUAAAUGUGUCAAAUUUUAGUAUAGUCAGAUUUUGUUGGGUGUAAGGACUGAAUAUAUGUAAAAAUAAGAGUAACAAAUUGUAGGAAAGUCUGAUUUUGAUGUACCUUUGUACAACUUCUAAGUACUUAUAAGUGUGUAAAGUUUUUAGACAGUUUUAUAUGUCCACAGAUUUUUAUAUUCACAAAAAUAUAUGUUUUAGCAGGUGUGCAACUACUCUAAGUGUAUCAAGUUUCAUAAGAGUAUACUUCUAUGUACACAUACAUACAGCAGGUCUUCAACUUUUAAUGUACAUCUUCCAACAGUGAUAUAGCAAUUGUUGGCAUCAAUUAUUGUAAAAUUAAUCAAAUGUUUAAAACCUAUCCCUCAAUCAUGUAUGAUUGUUUUUUCAAGAAGAAAAUUUUAGUUCCCUUUGAAUGAAUUCCAUAUCUUUUGUAUUUAUUCAAUGUGAAAAUCCAAUUUGCCAAAAUUUAAAUGUUCAGGUAGUUAACAACUAAUUUUGGAUAAGGGUUUUACUUCCUUCCUAGUAAAGGUACUAGGCAGUCUGGCUUAUAAUAAUAAUAAGUCCAUAUAGGCAUGUGUACUAGUAUUAUAAAUAGAUAAAAAGAACAAAGCACAUUGGCGGAUCCAAGGGGGGGAGGGGGGUUCCAGGGGUUGUAACCCCCCCUUUUUUGGACGAUCAAUGCAUUUGAAUGGGAGCAUAUAGUUGGAACAACCCCCCUCCCCCUUUACUCUAGGUUGGGAAUCCCCCCCUUUUUAAAAUGGCUGGAUCCGCCAUUGAAGUAUAUUGUAAAUGUUAGACUUUCUUUAUGAGGAAUACAGAGUAUCUCAUACAGAAAACAAUGAACUUUUCUUAAAAUAUGUUUUUAAAUGAUUUUUUUUUUAGUGAGAUUGGGUCUAUAUUUUGGGCUUACUGAAGCUUGUAUUCUAACAGUAUUAGUUAAAGAUAAGAAAAAUGUAAAAUUGUGUAAAUGUGAACCUUUGUUUAUGAAUAAAUGGCAUUAAAACUAUAGUGUCUUAAUCAUUGUUGUGUAUAUAUAUAUGUA